GAUGAAGAACGCAGCGAAAUGCGAUAAGUAAUGUGAAUUGCAGAAUUCCGUGAAUCAUCGAAUCUUUGAACGCAUAUUGCGCCCUCUGGUAUUCCGGAGGGCAUGCCUGUUCGAGCGUCAUUAUAACCCCUCAAGCUCAGCUUGGUGUUGGGGCCUGCCGCACGGGCAGCCCUUAAAAUCAGUGGCGGUGCCAUCUGGCUCUAAGCGUAGUAAUUCUUCUCGCUAUAGAGUCCCGGUGGAUGCUUGCCAUUAACCCCCAAUUUUCUAUGGUUGACCUCGGAUCAGGUAGGGAUACCCGCUGAACUUAAGCAUAUCAAUAAGCGGAGGA
rnacentral:misc_RNA from 1 species